GGAAACUUGUGCUAAUACCUCAUAAGUCUUUACGGAGAAAGCUUUAUGCGCCAAUGGAUGAGCCCGCAUUUGAUUAGUUUGUUGGUAGGGUAAUGGCCUACCAAGACUGUGAUCAAUAGCUGAUCUGAGAGGAUGAUCAGCCACAUUGGGACUGAGACACGGCCCAAACUCCUACGGGAGGCAGCAGUAGGGAAUAUUGCACAAUGGAGGAAACUCUGAUGCAGCGAUGCCGCGUGAGUGAAGAAGGCCUUUGGGUUGUAAAGCUCUUUCGUCGGGGAAGAAAAU
rnacentral:rRNA from 1 species